rnacentral:sRNA from 1 species
UCGAUUCGAGCGCAGCGAGAACGCGUUGCCGCAGGCAACGACCCGAAGGGCGAAGCGCGCAGCGCUGAGUCAUCCUUCCCCCACCACCA